AGAGUUUGAUCAUGGCUCAGGGUGAACGCUGGCGGUAUGCCUAAGACAUGCAAGUCGCACGGACUGUUUCGGCAGUUAGUGGCGGACGGGUGAGUAACACGUAGGUGACCUACCCCAAAGUCUGGGACAACUAGGAGAAAUCUUAGCUAAUCCUGGAUGUGAACCUCAGCUGUGGCUGAUGUUUAAAGCUUCGGCGCUUUGGGAUGGGCCUGCGGCGCAUCAGGUAGUUGGUGGGGUAACGGCCCACCAAGCCGACGACGCGUAGCUGGUCUGAGAGGACGACCAGCCACAGGGGUACUGAGACACGGACCCCACUCCUACGGGAGGCAGCAGUUAGGAAUCUUCCGCAAUGGGCGAAAGCCUGACGGAGCGAUACCGCUUGAAGGACGAAGCCCUUCGGGGUGUAAACUUCUGAACUCGGGACGAUAAUGACGGUACCGAGGUAAUAGCACCGGCUAACUCCGUGCCAGCAGCCGCGGUAAUACGUAGGGUGCGAGCGUUAAUCGGAAUUACUGGGCGUAAAGCGUGCGCAGGCGGAUUGUUAAGCAAGACGUGAAAUCCCCGGGCUUAACCUG
rnacentral:rRNA from 1 species